GGUACUUACAGGUGGGUUAUGUAGUACACACACACACACACACACACACAAGCACACGGUACUUACAGGUGGGUUAUGUAGUACACACACACACACAAGCACACGGUACUUACAGGUGGGUUAUGUAGUACACAUACACAUAUACACACACACAAGCACACGGUACUUACAGGUGGGUUAUGUAGUACACACACACACACACAUAAGCACACGGUACUUACAGGUGGGUUAUGUAGUACACACACACACACACAUAAGCACACGGUACUUACAGGUGGGUUAUGUAGUACACACACACACACA